UGCCGGGUCGUCUAAUGGUAGGACCAUGGACUCUGGAUCCAUGUAUGUAGGUUCGACUCCUACCCCGGCAGCUA
rnacentral:tRNA from 3 species